rnacentral:sRNA from 1 species
AAAGUGAAUCUAACUAUACAAAUAUAAUUACAUAAAAUGAAUAUAAUUUAAUCAACUACAUAAUAGCAGACACGAAAAUAACAUAAAUUACCAAUAAAAAUAGUUAAUAAAUUAGCAAUAAAAAUAGUUAAACAUAAUUAUUAUUAAAUAAUUUUCAAAACAACAAUCCACGCGUAGCGUGGGUACUCACCUAGUUGUUAUACAAUAGAACAACAAUUAAAUAUUGGAAAUGAAAAACAAUCUUUACGUUAAAAAAAUAAUCUAAUAGCAAUAAUAAUUUUUACAUAAAUCAAAAAAAUCUAAUAAAUUAUCGUACGACGAUUGGUCGAUUGGUAACGAUUGCUACUUUUGGCUAUAACGAUUUUGACUGUAGAAAAUUAGGAUGCAAAGACUUUAGAUAUUUCAAUCUUAUUGGUAAAAAUAAAUUCUAAUAAUUAUUUUUAUUAUUAUUAAAUAUAGUUUAU